GGAGGCUUUAACGUGAAGGACGAUGAUUUCAGCUGAGGCAGCUGAGCAUUGCUUAGCCAAGCGUUGAGGAUCCAGCUAGUGGGACCAGUGGCAGAAAUCCACCGCAGCUCUUCCAGAAAGUUUGAACAGAAGGGGAGGAGCAGGGACUGCAGCAAAUGCACCUCCAAUUGGGAUUACCCUGGAAUUUCUCCUUCCUUGGCCUGUUUAUUCAUCUGUGAUGGUUUGGUAACACCACCACGACGUUCCCCAGGCUGUUUAGGAACCUCAGCUCCCAUUCAAAUUCCUGGGAAGCAAUUCAAGUUUGGAUAUCUGAGGAAAAAAUGGGGAUUAUCCUGUGCCGUGUGUCUGCCCUGAGAUAAAACAUUCACGUCACUGAUCCCCUUCAUCUUGGAGAGGAGACAGCACAGCGUGGACUGGUCACAGCAGGUCUCCUGCCCCUUCCCACCUCGCAGGCAGGAAGGCAGCUAAAAGAGAUGGCUGAGAGUUGCCAGGGAGAGGAAGAAUGAAAUAGAAGCUGAAGAUCAGAAAUAUUUUUAAAAUGCCUCGGAUGUGGAAGAAUUGCAGCCGUGCUGUGAGCUUAUCCACAAUCUGUCAGAGCAGCGUGGGGACUUCCAGGGUUUAUUGCAAAGCGUUUCCGCUGCCAUGUUCUCCUCCCAGCUGAGCUUGGUUUGUUUUAUUUUGUUGGAUUUUCACCUUAAGGGGGUUUGUUUGUUUGUUUGUUUGUUUUUACAAGGUGCUGAGGCAGGGACACUCCUGCUGUUGUGUGGAACUCUAGACCUGCAUGUAAAUGUGGCUCUCUGAGUGACAGGGGAGCACAAGGAGUGUUAUCUGUUCUGCCAUGAGAUGUUCCCACAGGCUCCAGGAUAACGUGCUGUGUCUGUGGCUGAUGUUGCUUGGAUUGGGGUGGGACA